rnacentral:rRNA from 1 species
CCUUGACAUACUAAGAACUUUCCAGAGAUGGAUUGGUGCCUUCGGGAACUUAGAUACAGGUGCUGCAUGGCUGUCGUCAGCUCGUGUCGUGAGAUGUUGGGUUAAGUCCCGCAACGAGCGCAACCCUUUUCCUUAUUUGCCAGCGGGUCAUGCCGGGAACUUUAAGGAUACUGCCAGUGACAAACUGGAGGAAGGCGGGGACGACGUCAAGUCAUCAUGGCCCUUACGGCCAGGGCUACACACGUGCUACAAUGGUCGGUACAAAGGGUUGCUACCUCGCGAGAGGAUGCUAAUCUCAAAAAGCCGAUCGUAGUCCGGAUCGCAGUCUGCAACUCGACUGCGUGAAGUCGGAAUCGCUAGUAAUCGCGGAUCAGAAUGCCGCGGUGAAUGCGUUCCCGGGCCUUGUACACACCGCCCGUCACACCAUGGGAGUUUGUUGCACCAGAAGUAGGUAGUCUAACCGCAAGGAGGACGCUUACCACGGUGUGGCCGAUGACUGGGGUGAAGUCGUAACAAGGUAAGCGUAGAUGA